GUAAGGAAUAUUGGACAAUGGGCGCAAGCCUGAUCCAGCCAUGCCGCGUGCAGGAUGAAGGUGCUCUGCAUUGUAAACUGCUUUUAUCCGGGAAUAAACUCCGCUAUUCUUAGCGGACUGAAUGUACUGGAAGAAUAAGGGACGGCUAACUUCGUGCCAGCAGCCGCGGUAAUACGAAGGUCCCAAGCGUUAUCCGGAUUUAUUGGGUUUAAAGGGUGCGUAGGCGGGUUAUUAAGUCAGUGGUGAAAGCCUACAGCUUAACUGUAGAAUUGCCAUUGAUACUGAUGAUCUUGAGUAUGGUUGAGGUGGGCGGAAUGUGUCAUGUAGCGGUGAAAUGCUUAGAUAUGACACAGAACACCGAUUGCGAAGGCAGCUCACUAAGCCAUCACUGACGCUGAUGCACGAAAGCGUGGGGAGCAAACAGGAUUAGAAACCCUUGUAGUCC
rnacentral:rRNA from 1 species